AGAAUCAACGCUGGCGGCGUGCCUAACACAUGCAAGUCGCACGAGAAAGGGGAGCAAUCCCUGAGUAAAGUGGCGCACGGGUGAGUAACACGUGAAUCAUCUACCUCCGAGUGGGGAAUAACUGAGAGAAAUCUUAGCUAAUACCGCAUAACACUUACGAGUCAAAGCAGCAAUGCGCUUGGAGAGGAGUUCGCGGCAGAUUAGUUAGUUGGCGGGUAAGUGGCCGACCAAGACGAUGAAAAUCUGUA
rnacentral:rRNA from 1 species